AUACGCAUCGUGAUAAGCAGCGAUCUUAUCGGAUAUAACACUAUUUAUUUACCGCUAUUAUGUGAUAAUAUUACAAAAUAGUCGAUUGUGGAGAGGGGAAAGUAUAAACUACGAUACUAUCGAAAUUUAAUGUUGUCCGAAGAGCGACGGUAGCAUGAGUCAAGUAUAAAAAUCGAUGUACUGAUCCAGAAAAUGUCACCAAGGUCGAGUGACGAUCACGAGCUGCUCGGUGGGACUAUGCGCAUGACAUCACACAAACGAUAAGAUCCAGUGUGAGGCAACUUGGUCGAGCCAGUCAGACGUCGUCAUGAAGUGCUUCCUACUGGUGUUCUCCGUCCUCAGCAGCGUUUUGGCUCGGGACACGUGCCAUCAAGACAGGACGCUAGAUCCCAUUUCUAAGACUUACCUGUCACCCGUCGUUUUUUUAGGUAAACUAACAAAUGUUGUUCGACACGAAAAUAUGAUGCGUACCAGGUUUCACGUGAAAAAAGUGCUAAAGAAUGUUGGAAUGCAGUCGAAACAGAAAAAGAGGGUACGUCUGGAAUAUAGGAACUCUACUUUCUGUGAACUGCCCAGAGAUAUGGAGUUGACAAAGGAGUAUUUAGUAUUUAUACGCGUAAAUUAUUCCGAGGUUGAACCGUUGUUCCUACCGGAGCCGAGCAAUCCCAAGAUGAUCAGAAAUGUUAGGAAGAUUGCAUGCCGAAAGUGUGCGAAACCCCCAACUGUCGGACGCUUAAAUGACGUCACUCUAAAACCGGGCGGACGUCUAAAGCUGAACUGUAAAAUCGGCGGAAAUCCUUUUCCGAGAGUCGAAUGGUACAAAAACGGGAAAAUAAUCGAAGGAAGAAGCAGGAUUAAAAUAAAAAAUAAAAGGAAACAGUCAAACUUGAUUAUUAAGUCGGUAAAUUAUAAAGACAUUGGUGAAUAUGAAUGUCGAGUGAGUAACAUCGUUCAACAGGAAGCGGUUUCCUCCAAAGCAAAAGUGAUGAUUAAAGCUUUUCAGACGACUACCUCCUCCUCAACAGAAAGUAUCUUCGAGUUUGAAGGCUCUCCGUGUCCUAUGGACACGUUUUGUUUAAAUGGAGGCAACUGUACUUUUUACGAAAUAUUUGGAGAAUAUGUUUGCAAAUGUUCCGAAGGUUAUAGGGGUCGACGGUGUGCAAGUAAAGACAUCUCAGCAGCUUCCAAUGUGCAGAAGGAUACAUUGGACAAAGAUGCGACCACAAGAGUGUUUCAGUCAUUUUGGGGCAGGUAAUGAACCCCCAUCUUAGGCAUGUUACAGGAUCCGUACCUUGGUAAGUUUGAGUAAAGAAAAAAGUGAAUCUGCGUACUAACACUACUAACACUGCAUGCUGUCAACAUGGUCUUUAAAUUAACCAUUUCAUUAAUUAAUAAACUUUAGCGUAAAUAAGUACGCAUGUUUUAAAAUAUUAGUUGCUGCUUGCCCGUUCAAUUGCAUGCUAUUAUUAUUUUACAUUUUGUAAAUUGUUAAUAAUUAUGUUCUAUUUUUAUUUAUUUAUUUAUUUUAUAUAUAUAUAUGUUAGAGAGUGAGGAGAAGCAAGGAAGUUUGUCUUACGUUAUCACUGCCCUUUUUGGGGCCUCGAUAUGGAUAAUAGUGAUUCUGAUGGUGAUCAUCGUCUUUUCUUGCAGAAAACUCUUAAGGUCCCGAAAAAUUUUAAACUCUCUCAAAC
rnacentral:misc_RNA from 1 species